rnacentral:lncRNA from 1 species
UCUUAACAUUCAUGCAUUCGGCAGAUGAUUUUAUCCAAAACACCUUGCAUUGCAUUCAGAGUCUGGUUUUGAUCAGUUCUUGGGAAUCAAUGCUUAUUACACUUAACUAAAACCGUUUAAAAAAAAAUCCAUUAUUUAAAAAAAUAAAUGUUAACUAUAAAGAGAUAUUUUAAACUAUAUUAAAUAUUUAAAAUAUAAAUAUUACAUAUUAAUAAAGUAAAUUAUUUAUGAUAUCAAUAAUAAAAUAACAUCAUAUAAUAUUAAUAAAAUAUAUAAUAUUAAUAACGUUAUAAAAUAUUAAUAAAAUAACAUAUUUAUUCAGCUAGUUUCCAAGGCAGCGUUUCUCAUUUUCAUUUUUAGUUUGACAUGCUGUACUAAAACAGUGUCACAUGAUCUUCAGAAAUCAUUCUAAUAUACUCAAGAAACAUUUCUGAUUAUUAUCAAUGUUGAACACAGUUGUGCUGCACAAUAUUUUUGUGGAAACUUUUAUACAUUUUAUUUUCCAGGAUUCACAGAUGAUCAGAAAGUUCAAAAGAACAGCAUUUAUUUGAAACAGAAAUCUUUUGCAACAUUAUUAAUGUUUUUACUCUCACUUUUGAUCAAUUUAAUGCAUCCUUGAUGAAUGAAAGUAAUUUUUUAAAUCAUAAUUACCCCAGAGGUUUGAACGGUAGUGAACUAAAGGGGAUGUUGUUUUACGCUACUAUUCGUAGCUUCUGCUUUCUGAAUGUGGAAGUGUGAUAAAUCUGUGUUGAGCAUCUAACCCUUCUGUCAUCAUUCACAUUCACACAACAUUACAUCACAUCUGAGCUUCUGCUUUACAGAAAAAACAAAAAUAGAUGAUGAUUUUUAAUGCACAGCUUAAAAACAGAUAAAAAUGAAGUGCAACUAUAGAAGCCUGUUUCCAGUAUAAAGGUAAUUCUGACUUUAUCUCACGAUUCUGAUCGUUUCUACGAUUAUAUUUGUAUUUUUUUCUCAGAAUUGUGAAAUAUAAACUCAGUAUUGUGAGAUACACAAAAAAAUGUUUUUUAAUUCAGUGGCAGAAACAGGCUUCCAUAUUUCAUGAAUUGAAACCGGUCUGAAUGAUAUGAGGGUGAAUUAUUAUUUGAAUGUGAAGCGUGUGAUUCCCAGUGGAUGCAUGAACUGAUUAAAUACAGUUUGAAUG